rnacentral:rRNA from 1 species
GCCCAGACUCCUACGGGAGGCAGCAGUCGGGAAUAUUGCACAAUGGAGGAAACUCUGAUGCAGUGACACCGCGUAUAGGAAGAAGGUUUUCGGAUUGUAAACUAUUUUAGACAGGGAAGAAAAAAGACAGUACCUGUAGAAUAAGCUCCGGCUAACUACGUGCCAGCAGCCGCGGUAAUACGUAGGGGGCAAGCGUUAUCCGGAUUUACUGGGUGUAAAGGGAGCGUAGACGGCAGAGCAAGUCUGAAGUGAAAGCCCGCGGCCCAACUGCGGGACUGCUUUGGAAACUGCCCGGCUAGAGUGCUGGAGAGGUAAGCGGAAUUCCUAGUGUAGCGGUGAAAUGCGUAGAUAUUAGGAGGAACACCAGUGGCGAAGGCGGCUUACUGGACAGUAACUGACGUUGAGGCUCGAAAGCGUGGGGAGCAAACAGGAUUAGAUACCCCAGUA